AUAAAUAUCAGUCAGAAACAUUUCCUGGCAGCAAAGGAGGCCACAGCAUCUUGGGCAGCAUGAACAGGAGCACAACCAGGAAAUGGAGGGAAGCGAUUAUUCCCCUCUACUCAACACUCAUUAUAGCCCCUCUAGAUAUUGCAUCCAGUUGGGGAUCCCUGUAGAAGAAUACUAUUGAUGACGUGCAGUGAGUCCAGUGGCAGGCCUCCAAGGUUGUUUGGAGCUGCAGCACUUGCCCUGUGAGGAAACAGGGCUUGUUCAGCGCAGAAAAGGGAAGGUUUGGGGAAGGACUCAUAGCAGCUUCCCAACUCAAGGUUGCCACUGAUAAUGAACMAGGUUUUUAAAGGAAUUCAUGGCAGGAGAAUGACAGGCAAAAGUUAUAAGCUGAAAGAAGUGCAGUCAAAAUUGUAUAGAAGGUAGAAAAAUCAAUGAGGACCAUGAAGCAUUUGAAGUGGGGUCCAGAGGGGUUAUGGACUCUCUCUUCUUGGAGGCUUGCAGGAUGCAGCUGGACAAAAAAAAAAAAAAAAUCGGAGAAAGGCCUGCAAGUAAUUCUGGGCAACAUUUCCUAACAGGAGGAUUGCAUGGGAGCAGCGAUCAUGGAGCUGGAGACAGCAGGACCUCAUGUCCCAGGCAGAGGGAGAAGCCUGCCUGCAACUCAGAAGUCUGGUUCCUUCCCCAAUGCUGAAUAGACCCAGCAAAUCCUCUACACACCAAGGACAACCAGCAUUCUCCUAUUCGGUGCCCUGACAAUUUGAGACACGGGGAAGGACUCAGGCAAGGGCAUCUCACCUGGUGAAACCAGUUGCCCCCAGGCCCUGCGACACCCCGCGUUGCCCCGCGCUGCCGCUCACAACAUGGCCCCCCACCGCAGGGGAGGGGAGGGGGCUG
rnacentral:lncRNA from 1 species